GUGAAGGUGUUUCUGGAAAAGAUUAAUAUUUGAAUCAGUAGACUGAGUAAAGAAGAUCUGCCCUAAACAAUGUAGGUGGCCACAUCAACAAAUAUUGUGAAAGAGUUGGUUGAGAUAUAUAUAAACACUUGAAGAAGGGGUAAUGGACAAGAUAAGUGCAGCAUUCCUAAAAGAAAUUGCAGAGAAAAAAACAGCUAAAAUCUUCAUUUCCCAGACUUCCAUGUACGAGGGCUUCAGGUGUGUUUUAGGAUCUACUAAACGUAUGCAUUCACUGAGAAAUGUGGAAGUGAGUAAGAAGGAGGUGGAGUAUGAGGCAUCCAUUUUCAGAUGGAGAUCACAGUGGAAGUAAUGUG